UACGGGGGGGGCAAGCGUUGUUCGGAAUUACUGGGCGUAAAGGGCGCGUAGGCGGCUUUCUAAGUCGGAUGUGAAAACUCUGGGCUCAACCCAGAGCCUGCAUCCGAAACUGGAGAGCUAGGGUUCUGGAGGGGAAAGCGGAAUUCCUGGUGUAGCGGUGAAAUGCGUAGAUAUCAGGAGGAACACCGGUGGCGAAGGCGGCUUUCUGGACAGAUACCGACGCUGAGGCACGAAAGCGAGGGUAGCGAACGGG
rnacentral:rRNA from 1 species